GCGGUUUGAGAGUUUGGAGCUUCCCUAAAAGUCAAAAUGUUCUCAAUGGGCCCUCAAUCAGCACAUACACACAAAAGGUUCGAGGCAAGGAUUUGAGCCAGCUACCCCUUCUGGAAGAGACUGGUGUUAGUGAGGCCCAGGAACAUGAAGCUCCCCGGACCAAAGGGGUGGACAGCACUGAAGGAAACCUCUCAACCUUGAGUGGAGAGGCUGCUGUGAAACAGCUCUGGGCAGCACCUGGGCCAGCAUGUGGAAGGAGACAUGUUCCUAAGCUGCCUGGUACCCUGCCAUCUCUCUUCUCUUCCUCCUAAUCCAUAAGCACCAGACCUCAAGCCCCAUGUGCAGCUCCAGAAGCUGCUAGACCUCAAGCAGGACUAAGAUUCAGAGAGAGCAGCCACCGACCUGGCUCCUCCCAGGCAGGCCAGCCCAG
rnacentral:antisense_RNA from 1 species